CUGAGCUAUACCCCCACCUGUCCAGCACCUCCCAGGUGAGGCCCUUUGUGGCCACUGACAGUGGCACUGCUGCAUUCCACUGCCUGCACUCCCAGCUCUGCCUCCCACACAGCAUCCCUUUCAUUAACCUCCUCUGUGCUUCACACACUUGCAAACUCUUGGAGGAACAAAACAUCCUGCUUAAACAACAUCCCUGCUUACUUUGUCUCACAAUGGGAAAGAAAAAAAGAACACAUGGCACCAGCCACCUCAGAACACCUUUGGAGGUGCUCACCUACACCCACUAGUGUACCUAAUCCACUGCCCACCCUUCUCUGGAUGUCUGAGCAUUUUGCUGCAGGCAAUGUGAGAAAGAACAAAAAGUGAGGUUUGAAAGCCUUCAGUGACAGAGUGAGAGCAAACUACGCACAAGCCUGAGGGAAAGGGCCAAUUUUUGCAGAAAAGCAGAUUUCUGCUGACCAUUACAAAGUGUUACAGCCUACAGAAAUUUGGAAUGGGGCCAUGCGGAGAAAUAAAGCUGAAAAAAGGUUAUCUACUGUUUGAGUGUGCAGCAGUGUGGAUGCUGCUUUUCUAUGAGAUCUUCAGCAGCUCUUAAUGGGGUAACUGAAGGAGGUGGGCACAAAGGAAUCUUGCAAGUUAAGCCCACUUCAGAAGCUUUAGAACACAAAGUGUACUUUCUCUUACUAUUCCAGAGUCCUAAAGUUAAAGGCACUACUCUGGGAGAGCGAGUGCAAGCACUGAAUGUAAGAGAAAUAAUUUCAUAUUAAUAUAUUAAUAUAUAAAUGAUGCCAGCGGCAAACGCAUCACAGCUGAAGAACACCUUGGCUGGCACUUAAUUAGAGACGGUGUGAAUGAGUCAUGAGUCUCUUCCAACACAGCACCCACACUUACUAAAAGGAAGCAUUCCUGCGCCCAAUCGGUGCCGCAGUCUGAGGCCGCUACCAGCCGGGCCCCGGCCGUUAGAAGGCCGCAGGUUUAACCCCAAACUCCACCCUGGGAGCGCGCCGCCCCUCACCUGACAGUGCCCGCACCCUCAGGGCAUGGCGGCCUUCUCCCCCGCAAACCAUCGCAGCUCUUCUACCUUCCCCCCUCGGCUUCGUACUUCCAGACCGUCCGCACACCGCGCAGAGGACGGCUCCCCUCCAAGCUCCAUAGGACCGACCCCGCAGGACCUCUAAAGACACCCUCAGGGCCCGAGGGCAUGAACCGGAAGGUGCGUUACGUCAUCAAUACGCGCCACCUCCGCCUGCUCCGCGCGGCGCUCUUUGGAGACGUCACUUCCGGCGCGGCGCUGCCGGUAGGAUGACAGCGGAAGGAAACAAGCAGAGCCGUGCUGGGCCCGGCGCCUUGCUGCGGCUCCCGUUCUCACCGGGAAAAGAAAAAUAAAAAUUAAGCAGUGACGUGAGAUAAACCCGAGCUUCGUGUUGUCUGUGUAUGCGCACACUGUAGAGCUAAACCACAGGAAAAAUGGAAAGCUGAGACUUUGCAGCUGGUAAAAGGAAGUCAGGAGAUUGGGGAGAUCCCAGAGGAAGAAGGUCACUGCCAUGUUGUCUGCAAAGGAUUCUGGAAGAAGCUCAACAGGGAUGCAAGGAGCAUUAAAAGCAAAUGCACGGAGACCAUUUAUGUCUGCUGGUUACAGUUCCCGUAUAUCAUCUCGCUUUGAUUCCUAAUCCACAUGCUAAAGCAGCUACAGGCAGUAAGAAAUGCAUUCUGCCUUUACAUAAAAAUGUGGCGUUACUGAUGCAAGUAUUCAUUUUGACUGUACGUUUUCAGUUGAUCAGUGUCAGAAACACAAAAACAAGGGCAUGGACAGAGCAGCUGGCUCUCUGUGCAAGACAAAGGCAGACAGGGUCUAAAAACAAGGAAUGCUCCUCAUGUUUGUCUCACAAAAAGCACACAAUCCAAAGGGGGCACCUGGAGUUGAACCAGGGACCUCUUGAUCUGCAGUCAAAUGCUCUACCACUGAGCUAUACCCCCUUGGAGCAGCACCUGCACAAGGUGAUUUUUAAGCAAUCUAUGAACAGAGCCCAGAGUUGAUCCCAGCUGCUCAGAUUCCUUCACGUGACGCAGCCCUGGGUGUCCUCACACAUCCACUACCUUCUACAG
ensembl:lncRNA